AGUAAAGUGCCUGAAGAAAGGAUUAUCGUGAUAGGAUAAAUUAUGUAAUUUUUUACCUUUACUA
rnacentral:tRNA from 1 species